rnacentral:lncRNA from 1 species
GAUUUUUUACCUCGUGCUCUUCUGUGGAGAUAAGUUGGAAAUUAUAUAACUCUAGAAUAAUUUGCUUUGAAUAAAAAUACUUUCUUCAUCUUUAGGAGGAGGUGGAGGGGGAGACGUAGUGGGAAGACUUUCCCAACUGGCUCUAGUAAAAAACGUUAUAGCUUAGGGUCUGAGCAGUCUGAAUUUAACAGAGAAUAGGAAGGUAUUUAUAAAGACAAACAUAAGAUCCUAAAAUGUAUCUUAGACUGUAACGGGAGCAUCAGAGGAGCAGAAUCAAAACUGUGGAUCAGCUGCAUGUGAAAUAAAACUUCUAUGUGUGCAUAGAAGUGUGCGGAAUUAAAGACUGAAGACAGCAAGGGGAAACAACUGCGUAUUUUUCCUAAUAGUUGAAAAUAAUUAAAUUAGAUAAAAUUCUUUUUUUUCCUUCUACUGUUUCUCCACUGCAACAGCUCUGUGUAGAUGAAGAAUCUGUUUACAGUCUGCUGCCUACAUCAGUGGAACCAGUGAAAGGGAAGGGCAGCAGAACUGCUAAUAGAAAAACACUGUGGAGUGAGAGACCUACUCUGUGCACUAAGUUCCCUAGGACCUUGCCCUCAGAUAUUUCAUACUGGAGUCUUACUCCUCUGCUAGAUGCUCUAAAUCUGGAAGCCUCUUGCCCAAUUAACUUUCCUGUGCACAGCUGGAAUCCCCCUUGCAGAUGGAGAUCUGUCACCAGCCUCUUUGAAAGCUGUGGUCUGUGGCAUGCAUCCAUUUCAGAUGUGACAUCAGUAGGGUGCAAGUGGAAAAUAUACUCUGCUGGUGGCUAUACUGAUUCAG